CAGCCCAGUACCACCAUCAGUUACCAGAGUAAUACUAUUUGGUCCAAACUUGAACUCCAAAGCCCAACCCAGUAUACUCUCUCUCUCUCUCUCCCUCUCUCUCUCUCCUCUCCCUCUCUCUCUCUCCGGUUUCCAACCGUUCUCCCUCACCAUCGAAGGCAUAGAUUGACACGGCAGAAAGGUCAGGGCGUAGAUUUCGAUUAUAUUGUUGAUUUUGUUUGUUUGGUUGAAGUUUUUAUUUAUUUAUUUAUUUAUUUUGGCUGAUAAUUCACAUUGAGAGCUUCAAUUUUGAGAGUUACAUAUGCUUCCACAUGUUUGUGCUCGAUUUCCAUGUUUCUCCAGAGCUUUCAAGUUUUUAUUUUUAUUUUUAUGUGGGUUUCAUUUAUUCAUUUAAUUUACUCCUUUACUGGCUCAUUUUUUGUUCUCCAUCGUCUGAUUGUUUUAGACAAAUUUUAGUUUUGUUCAUAAUGAUUUGGGAACGUGGUUUUACUCCAAAAAUUGAAUGUGUCUCAUUUUUUUUUGAACUCGACUCUGUUCCCUUGAAGUUGAAGACCAACCUUUGCAAAUGUGUUUGCUUUUAUCUUUUUGAUACACCCUUUAUUAAUUCAACGGGUCUCUGAUGUCAACAAAAGACGUUUGUGUGAUUCUCCUCGGUGCAUUUCUGGGUUAUACAAUUGUCUUUAUGUUUAGAGCUUUCUAUCUAAUUGGAGAUUUUGACUUUACACCACGUCUUUAUAAUUUGGUUGAUUAUUGAGUAUUUAUGUUUAUAAUCAAAUGAAUGUUUGUCCUUGAAAAGAUAUUCGUAAUUUGAUUUUCGAAUGGGCUUGAGAAAUACACCUUCGGGGUUUGUAUUAUUGAGUUAAUUUAUGAUUUUUGCUUUCAGAUUUGAUUGCUUUUAUCUAUAUCAAUUUAAUAAUCUUUGUGGAUAGUAUAUAAGGCUAGCAUGGCAGCCACAACUCCUACAAGAUGAUCACUUAAAGGAGACCAUUCCGAAUAUCUGUGCUUGUGUGCUGUUUUUCCUAUAUUUUCACCUUUUUAAGCAUGCUGGUCUUUUGCUCCUGAGGUACGAUUUUUCCCUUGAUUGUGAAGCUAUACAACCAAAAUGAACUAUUUUGAUGUACUAAGGUGGUUUAAACUUUACAUGGCAUUUUAUUGCCAUUUUUGCAUGAAUAGCAAGAUACUAAUCUUGUUUUGAUGUGUCAUGUUACCAUGCUACUUUUGAUGUUCCUUUUUUUAUGUUGACCUGAAAUUUUCAAUUGGCACAUCAAAAAUUAAAAUUACAGCUUAAAGUGCUGGAUUGCUUCAUAUAGCCAAGUUCUUCUUGGAUUCAAUGAGGCCUCUCUAAUCUACUAUAUCCUCUUCAGAGUACUUUGGAUUCCUUAUCUUUAAAUAAAGUUCUGACUACAUUUCAUUUUAAUGCAUCUUUUAUGGGUGUGCACUUCAGCUGGCCUGUUGUUGCUCUAGCAUAGCAGUGCUAAGUCUACGGCAUCACUCAGAAACUUAUGACACAUUCAAGGGACAUAUAUUGUACUUGCUCGUUUACAAUGUUGUUUUUGAAUUAUAGACAUGUUAAAGGUUCUCAUUGUGCUCAUGGGUGUAUGUGGUCUGUUUAUGUAUGUACAGGCAUUACGUGUAUUGUGUGUUUACAGUGUUUUAGCCUUCAAUUUAUGAUAGGACGACUCACUAAACAAGAAUUGAACUCAUUUCAUAUGGGAUGCUUAGAUCCCUGUACUGAUGUAUCUGAGAAGAGGAUUGUUGGUGUCUUUCAUGAGCUUCUCCACAUCCCCAUACAAAAGAAACUGAGCACAAGAAUGUGAGCAAUCUCCGAAAACCGCUGGCUUUGCCACAGACGUUCAUGAAGGUGUUUGAACGCCAUCCUGACAUGUUAUACAUUUCUAAGAAGCGUUACACCCAAACUGUCAUAAAGUAAACCAGAAAUACCCCCUUGUUGACAACAGGGAAAAGUUUGCAAGUAUGAUGAAGGAAGGGUUGCUGGAUAGGAGCAGGGGCUUAUGCAAGAGAAACAGAGAUUCUGUUGUUGAGGAGGAUUGAUUAAGGAUGUUUGUAGUAAUGAACUCAGUGACAAUGGGUUCAAAAAUGGAGAAUCAGAUGAUUCAGAUUGUAAUCUGCUUUCAGAAUAUGAAUCAGAUUAUUCAGAUUGCUAAAUUCGGCUGAUACUGUUAGCAGUUAGCCUUCAUGGAAAGUUUUGAAACCACAUUGUGCAUCAGCAGCAUUCACAAUAUUUGGAGUACAAUAGCAUUCAUUCAAUUUGAUGCUGCACCUCAUUUGCUAUUACAAUAUUUGGAGUACAAUAGCAAUUAUGCAUUUUGAGUUCAUUUGAAAUGAUUCCUACUCUGCACACCAAGUUUGAGCAUCCAUUUCGUACAAUCUUCUACUCAAAUUAAACUUUCAGUGAGAUAUCUAAAUGAUAUGUGGAAGAUUAGCUGCUGGUGGUAAAAGCUAAGGAUUACCUACUACAUAAAUGUGAAAGGUGAUCCAAGAACUCAAAUCUUCGUUGCAACGUCAAACAACUAAUGGAAAAGGAAAAAUUCUAGUUACUUGAGAAGAAGAAAAAAAUCCAGAUUGUGACAAUUUCUGGAUAACAGGUCUCUGCUAAACCUUGGCACCAAUGUUCAUCCUUCCUAAGUGCAUGGUCACGGUGGAUGAUUCUGUUUUAAAAACACCAUCAAUCGCGUCUCACCUAUUGAACAGGGGCUGGCUUUGCCAAGGGAUAAUAGGGCCAUACGGGAGAGGUUGGAUGCUAACAUUGUCUACUAUAUGUUCCAAUCAUUCUCUCGCUAUUUGGCUAUUAUCCACUUAGCUUGACAGUUCUGUAAUGUUGGCAUAGAGACAUGAUCAUUUGGAGAGGGACGAGUUUGCUGAACUAUAUAAUUCAGGAAUUCAUGGCUGAGAAGAAGUAAAAUGGUGCUGAGAAGACAAAGUCCGAUCAGUUGCCAUUGGCAUGGAUGACUGCUAUAGUGAAGGUGCAAGCAGGUUUAUUCUGUCGGAUUCAGCGUUCCAGUAAACCAGGUCUGGAUCCCCUCAACCCCUCUUCCUGCAGAGGGCCAACAGAUCGAAGAUGAGGCUGGCAAAGUGCAACUUUGUAUGGAUUCGUCCUGUUACUGUUCAAAGUGAGGCUGCUACUGAAUCAAUCAGAUGAACAUUCUAAGGCACCUUGGUGUUUUUGUAAUUUUGCUUUUAAAGAUGAUUAAUUGUCCCAAAUUGAACACAUAUUGUAAAUAUUUCCUUUGCUUCAACAUUCAUGGUAUAAAAUGGUGUGUUUAGACCUUUUGUACUUGUAAUCACUGGAAAUAAGGACUUCUGUACCAAGAGGGCAGGUAUAUAUAUUUAUGAUCCGAGGUUGUUAGCA